rnacentral:rRNA from 1 species
GAUGCCAUCUCUCAUGUUGCCGAUUCAACCCUGGACGAUGUUGUGCGGCCCGCGGCCAUGGACGAUGUGUUGUUGGACAACGACGCGAGGCCGAGGCAGCCAAUGUGAAUGACCACUGGAAAUCAUUUACCUUUCAAUCUUGGAAGGCCCUAAGCUGAAGGAGAGCAUCAAUUGUCAUGAGAGAUAAGCAAUAUCUAUUAGACACGCAUACUAUCAGGCUAACGCAAACCACUCGGGAAUGAAGUAUACUUACCGUAACUUUCUAUGUGUUGACUUGAGUUUUCCUGUUAGUAAAAGAAACAUGCCAUUUUUUUGCGGUUCAUGGAUUCAUGCUCAAUGUUGAAUUAUUAUCUGAUCUGCAAAAGCAUGCCUUACU